rnacentral:rRNA from 1 species
AUUGAACACUGGUGGCAGGCCUAACACAUGCAAGUCGAGCGGCAUCGAGUGAGCGCAGUUUACUGAGUUCAUGUCGGCGAGCGGCGGACGGGUGAGUAAAGUCUGGGAAUCUGGCCGAAGGAGGGGGAUAACUGCUGGAAACGGCAGCUAAUACCGCAUGAAGUCGCGAGACCAAAGUGGGGGACCUUCGGGCCUCACGCCUUCGGAUGAGCCCAGAUGAGAUUAGCUGGUAGGUAAGGUAAAGGCUUACCUAGGCGACGAUCUCUAGCGGGUCUGAGAGGAUAGCCCGCCACACUGGAACUGAGACACGGUCCAGACUCCUACGGGAGGCAGCAGUGGGGAAUAUUGCACAAUGGGCGAAAGCCUGAUGCAGCC